UACGUAGGGGGCAAGCGUUGUCCGGAUUUAUUGGGCGUAAAGGGCGCGCAGGCGGCCUUAGAAGUCAGAUGUGAAAGCCCCGGGCCCAACCUGGGGAAUGGCAUUUGAUACUCUGAGGCUGGAGUACGGGAGAGGAGAGUGGAAUUCCCAGUGUAGAGGUGAAAUUCGUAGAUAUUGGGAAGAACACCGGUGGCGAAGGCGGCUCUCUGGACCGUAACGUGACGCUG
rnacentral:rRNA from 1 species